AUGAGUAACUAAGAAACUACUUUAAUAUUUACUUUAAACUAGUGUAAUGAUAUUGGCGAUUCAUGCAGGUCUGGAAAGAUGUUUCCGUCCUUCUCCAGUGACCUGUCAGUCAC